GCGACUAUAGCUCAGUCUGGUAGAGCAGCGAAUGCACAACAUUCGUCAGUCGCUGGUUCGAAUCCAGCUAGUCGCACCA
rnacentral:tRNA from 1 species